CGAAUGCUGACAUAAGUAACGAUAAAGCGGGUGAAAAGCCCGCUCGCCGGAAGACCAAGGGUUCCUGUCCAACGUUAAUCGGGGCAGGGUGAGUCGACCCCUAAGGCGAGGCCGAAAGGCGUAGUCGAUGGGAAACAGGUUAAUAUUCCUGUACUUGGUGUUACUGCGAAGGGGGGACGGAGAAGGCUAUGUUGGCCGGGCGACGGUUGUCCCGGUUUAAGCGUGUAGGCUGGUUUUCCAGGCAAAUCCGGAAAAUCAAGGCUGAGGCGUGAUGACGAGGCACUACGGUGCUGAAGCAACAAAUGCCCUGCUUCCAGGAAAAGCCUCUAAGCAUCAGGUAACAUCAAAUCGUACCCCAAACCGACACAGGUGGUCAGGUAGAGAAUACCAAGGCGCUUGAGAGAACUCGGGUGAAGGAACUAGGCAAAAUGGUGCCGUAACUUCGGGAGAAGGCACGCUGAUAUGUAGGUGAAGUCCCUCGCGGAUGGAGCUGAAAUCAGUCGAAGA
rnacentral:rRNA from 1 species